UACCUGAGGACAGAGCUAGCUGGCGAGCUAACUAACUAGGCAAACAUCCCAUGCUUCUGGAGCUGAGAGGACAGGCAGGAGCGAAUGUAAGAACAGCCCUGCUGGGUCAGGCUCAAGGCCCAUCUAGUCCAGCAUCCUGUCUCACACAGAGGCCCACCAGAUGCCUCUGGGGAGCCCACAGGCAAGAGCACUAGCUAAGAAAGAAGAGAUGUUUACUACUGAAAUCUGAUGCCGGGCAAGGUCAAAAGGUUAUCGGAAAAGAUCUUCACUGACCCAACAAACAAGUAAAAGAUGCAGCUGAAAGCCUAUAAAAUCAAUAGGAAUUUUACCACUGACAUCAACAGGAUGAGAACUUUGACCAGUUUAUUUUCUAAUCCCCCUCCCCAUUCUUUCCACCCCAUUUCCUGUGCUGUGCUAACUAGAAACUAUGGGAGUAUAUGUCAGAGCCUCAAGAUGACUUCUAAACACUAUCUAGACAUUCUUCUGUGCUUGCAGUCAAGACCAUUGAAGAGUGGUAGUUGUGAAUUUUCAUACACAUUUUCCCCAUUAACCCUUCUGGGUGGAGUUGUGUGAUUGCACCAUGGAACUUGUGGACAAUUCUCCAAGGAUCAUUAAUCUGGGAUUAAAGAGUGUGAUCUUGAUGUCUGAUGAGAAAAAACAAUGAUUUAUAAAUGUAUGUUCCCAAA